rnacentral:tRNA from 1 species
GUGCCUUAGUACAAAUUGGUGUCACUCAGGCUUACUUUUGAUUCCGACUAACCCUUUAAAAUCUAUGUCUCCAUGUCACUUAGUGUCACCCAGUGUCUUUAUACACAAAACCCCCUCGACUGCCUUCACACGGCAGAAGCCACUGGUUCGAUCCCAGUACGGCCCACCA